GGGAAACCGAGUCUUAACUGGGCGUUAAGUUGCAGGGUAUAGACCCGAAACCCGGUGAUCUAGCCAUGGGCAGGUUGAAGGUUGGGUAACACUAACUGGAGGACCGAACCGACUAAUGUUGAAAAAUUAGCGGAUGACUUGUGGCUGGGGGUGAAAGGCCAAUCAAACCGGGAGAUAGCUGGUUCUCCCCGAAAGCUAUUUAGGUAGCGCCUCGUGAAUUCAUCUCCGGGGGUAGAGCACUGUUUCGGCAAGGGGGUCAUCCCGACUUACCAACCCGAUGCAAACUGCGAAUACCGGAGAAUGUUAUCACGGGAGACACACGGCGGGUGCUAACGUCCGUCGUGAAGAGGGAAACAACCCAGACCGCCAGCUAAGGUCCCAAAGUCAUGGUUAAGUGGGAAACGAUGUGGGAAGGCCCAGACAGCCAGGAUGUUGGCUUAGAAGCAGCCAUCAUUUAAAGAAAGCGUAAUAGCUCACUGGUCGAGUCGGCCUGCGCGGAAGAUGUAACGGGGCUAAACCAUGCACCGAAGCUGCGGCAGCGACACUAUGUGUUGUUGGGUAGGGGAGCGUUCUGUAAGCCUGUGAAGGUGUACUGUGAGGUAUGCUGGAGGUAUCAGAAGUGCGAAUGCUGACAUAAGUAACGAUAAAGCGGGUGAAAAGCCCGCUCGCCGGAAGACCAAGGGUUCCUGUCCAACGUUAAUCGGGGCAGGGUGAGUCGACCCCUAAGGCGAGGCCGAAAGGCGUAGUCGAUGGGAAACAGGUUAAUAUUCCUGUACUUGGUGUUACUGCGAAGGGGGGACGGAGAAGGCUAUGUUGGCCGGGCGACGGUUGUCCCGGUUUAAGCGUGUAGGCUGGUUUUCCAGGCAAAUCCGGAAAAUCAAGGCUGAGGCGUGAUGACGAGGCACUACGGUGCUGAAGCAACAAAUGCCCUGCUUCCAGGAAAAGCCUCUAAGCAUCAGGUAACAUCAAAUCGUACCCCAAACCGACACAGGUGGUCAGGUAGAGAAUACCAAGGCGCUUGAGAGAACUCGGGUGAAGGAACUAGGCAAAAUGGUGCCGUAACUUCGGGAGAAGGCACGCUGAUAUGUAGGUGAAGUCCCUCGCGGAUGGAGCUGAAAUCAGUCGAAGAUACCAGCUGGCUGCAACUGUUUAUUAAAAACACAGCACUGUGCAAACACGAAAGUGGACGUAUACGGUGUGACGCCUGCCCGGUGCCGGAAGGUUAAUUGAUGGGGUUAGCGCAAGCGAAGCUCUUGAUCGAAGCCCCGGUAAACGGCGGCCGUAACUAUAACGGUCCUAAGGUAGCGAAAUUCCUUGUCGGGUAAGUUCCGACCUGCACGAAUGGCGUAAUGAUGGCCAGGCUGUCUCCACCCGAGACUCAGUGAAAUUGAACUCGCUGUGAAGAUGCAGUGUACCCGCGGCAAGACGGAAAGACCCCGUGAACCUUUACUAUAGCUUGACACUGAACAUUGAGCCUUGAUGUGUAGGAUAGGUGGGAGGCUUUGAAGUGUGGACGCCAGUCUGCAUGGAGCCGACCUUGAAAUACCACCCUUUAAUGUUUGAUGUUCUAACGUUGACCCGUGAUCCGGGUUGCGGACAGUGUCUGGUGGGUAGUUUGACUGGGGCGGUCUCCUCCUAAAGAGUAACGGAGGAGCACGAAGGUUGGCUAAUCCUGGUCGGACAUCAGGAGGUUAGUGCAAUGGCAUAAGCCAGCUUGACUGCGAGCGUGACGGCGCGAGCAGGUGCGAAAGCAGGUCAUAGUGAUCCGGUGGUUCUGAAUGGAAGGGCCAUCGCUCAACGGAUAAAAGGUACUCCGGGGAUAACAGGCUGAUACCGCCCAAGAGUUCAUAUCGACGGCGGUGUUUGGCACCUCGAUGUCGGCUCAUCACAUCCUGGGGCUGAAGUAGGUCCCAAGGGUAUGGCUGUUCGCCAUUUAAAGUGGUACGCGAGCUGGGUUUAGAACGUCGUGAGACAGUUCGGUCCCUAUCUGCCGUGGGCGCUGGAGAACUGAGGGGGGCUGCUCCUAGUACGAGAGGACCGGAGUGGACGCAUCACUGGUGUUCGGGUUGUCAUGCCAAUGGCACUGCCCGGUAGCUAAAUGCGGAAGAGAUAAGUGCUGAAAGCAUCUAAGCACGAAACUUGCCCCGAGAUGAGUUCUCCCUGACUCCUUGAGAGUCCUGAAGGAACGUUGAAGA
rnacentral:rRNA from 1 species